rnacentral:rRNA from 1 species
UACGGGGGGGGCAAGCGUUGUUCGGAAUUACUGGGCGUAAAGGGCUCGUAGGCGGCCAACUAAGUCAGACGUGAAAUCCCUCGGCUUAACCGGGGAACUGCAUCUGAUACUGGAUGGCUUGAGUUCGGGAGAGGGAUGCGGAAUUCCAGGUGUAGCGGUGAAAUGCGUAGAUAUCUGGAGGAAUACCGGUGGCGAAGGCGGCAUCCUGGACCGGCAUUGACGCUGAGGAGCGAAAGCCAGGGGAGCAAACCGG